rnacentral:misc_RNA from 1 species
GCCCAAAAUAAGUUUCUAUGAACCAGUAUUGAAUUUCACUUGAACUUCGAGAAAAUGAAUAAUCCAGAAUGGCAGGAUCAGAGAAAAAAAAAUAGUGACCAAUCAUCGAACUACUUGCCAAGUGAAAAUGCAUGAAAAUUAAGCUCUUCGGCUAGUAUCCGAUCAGUACAAAAUUGUGGCGAGAACUCGUUAAUCAGGUCAGUCUCACUUGGAGCUUGAUGGUGAUGAUAAGGAGCCGGUACAUGGCAUGGAACCUUGCGGUGGCGAUCCAUUUCUAUGGAGGAGCUCACGUGCCAAUGAUUGAAGAUCUCCACCACCACUAGUUGCUGAUGAUGAGCCUGUGCUGCCUCCAAAUUGACGUGGAUCCAUUUGCCGCUGCUGCAUGGCCCAUGAAGGUUGUGUCGUCGGAUCAAAAAGUGACGACAAGUCGUAUGUGGUGGGCACGGAAGAGGCUGAUGGGAGGUCAGCUAUUGAAAGAGGAGGCGAAGUCACUAGUGUUGCUGGUGGAGGCGGAGGAGCUGGUGGUGACGGAAGUUCUAAUGUUGCUAGAUGGGUCUGCAAGUAUGAGAGCUCUGCUUGUAGAUUCACCACCUGUUGCUGUAGAGCAAAGAUGUGAGAGACGCAGCCAUAGACUGGAUCUCUUAGACGAGCCUGAGCCUCGUAGCAAACUGUAACCACCGCAUCCAGUCGCUUGUGGACAGGAAUAUGUAGAAGAAGUUUUGACACAUUACUUGCACCAAAAACCUUAUGCACCGCCGCAAAAUGGGCUGCACCUUGCUCUGAAUCGAAGUAAGGCGCAAAUAUACAACCCGGCACACAUUUCCUCCUCAAAAAUUUGCACGCGCCACAUGGCCCGCUCCCGCCACUGCUACUACUGCUCCCACCACCACCGCCGCAGCUACUGCCACUGCCGCCGCUACUGCUAGGAUUUACUGUUGCACUCAUUUCUUUUCGUUUUCGUUCUAUUUUUGAAAAAGAGAAAAGAAAACAAAUAAUAUGGUAUCACAUAAUUAGGGUUUGUUUGCACGGGUUACUUGAAGGAGGAGGAGGAGGAGGAGGA